CCCCGACUCAUCGGCUGGCUUAGCCUUGGUGCACCACAGCGCAACGCGCUCCCUCAUUGCUGCAGUAUUACAACACAUCCGAACCCACAAACCGACCCUUUUUAUCUAGAGCCCAGCGCCAUUAUAGACAGACCGAGCCCCUUCCGGCGCCGAAGGUGAUAUAUCGCAAGUUGCCAGGACCAGAGUGGAGC